rnacentral:tRNA from 1 species
CUCUCUGUAGCCCAAUGGCAGAGGCGGCGCUUUCAAAAAGCGCGCGGUGCACGUUCGAAUCGUGCCAGAGGGA